AGCAGUCGCCACGGUAAUACGUAGGUGGCAAGCGUUGUCCGGAAUUAUUGGGCGUAAAGGGCUCGCAGGCGGUUUCUUAAGUCUGAUGUGAAAGCCCCCGGCUCAACCGGGGAGGGUCAUUGGAAACUGGGAAACUUGAGUGCAGAAGAGGAGAGUGGAAUUCCACGUGUAGCGGUGAAAUGCGUAGAGAUGUGGAGGAACACCAGUGGCGAAGGCGACUCUCUGGUCCGUAACUGACGCUGAGGAGCGAAAGCGUGGGGAGCGAACAGGAUUAGAUACCCGGGUAGUCCCUGUCUCUUAUAC
rnacentral:rRNA from 1 species